rnacentral:lncRNA from 1 species
UAGCCAGAGCUCUUUCCAUUGGGCCAUAUUACAGUCUUGAAAAGUAGGUUUUUGCCCCACCUCUGCCACUGACUGGCCAUCCAACUCUGACUAAGCCUUUCUGUUCCCAAAGACUCAGUUCUCUUAUCCCAGGAGAUCAGAAUUCUUUUGCUCAUUGUUAUUCUUUGCCUGAGGAACUAUAAGAGAGUAGGGAGGCUGGGCCAUUGGGUACAAAGCUCCUUGCUAUUCUCAGCCCAUUUAGGCAAAGCCUUUCAAAAACUCCUGGCUAUCCUUUGAGAACCAAUGGGCUAGAAUUUGAAUAAACAGCUUUUCUGCAUAUUGAUGUAGAAAACCACAGAUUAAGAUCAUCUACAUUGCAUUGUAUUUUUAUGUAUUUGGUUCAACAUUUUCCAUUUAUAUUUUAAUGUAGGUAUUCACUGGACAGAAUUUAAUUCUUCUGGACUAGCAGAUAUCUGAGUUCACAGGCCCCCCGAGGACUAAGUAGACCCCAGGUACAGAAUUCCUGGACCACCUAUUCCUGAAUGAAGGUGGGGAGAGAUCGGUCUUGGACUUGCCCCGCUGAUCUUUACAAAGGACUGUAAGGACUUCUGCCCAAGAACGGAAUGGAACCCUGGGCUGGAAGGGUCCCUUGUGUGUGGCUCUCUCCCCACUGGUGAAGACGGGUUACUUACUGCCCUGCUCCUGAGUGAGGGAUGGUCAUGGUGGCAGGAGAAGCUGAGGAGGAGUGAUGGCAGCCUUUCUUCAGUUCCUCAAAGGAAAAAAGACUGGGAAAAAGCUGCCUGCCGGGAGAGGCACUAGAAGUCGAUCACGUCCUCAUCCCCAGCUUCCUACACUAGAGGCUUGAGCAAAUUUUCCCCUUGGGUGAGAUCUGGGACUCUCUUUUGGUUAAGCUGAGUUGUCUCACUUCCAAAGGGAGAGCCAAUUCAGUCUGUACUGCCUGGUAUAUACUCUCCUAUGUAUACUUCCUCUGAUUUCUGUUUUGCUACCCAGUUGAUUAAAGUGUUUCUUUGCUAUUUAAUAUGUGGAAUGGGUAUUUGGGGGGAAAGCAGUCAAGCC